UACGUAGGGUGCAGGCGUUAAUCGGAAUUACUGGGCGUAAAGCGUGCGCAGGCGGUUUGCUAAGACAGGCGUGAAAUCCCCGGGCUUAACCUGGGAACUGCGCUUGUAACUGGCAAGCUAGAGUGUGGCAGAGGGGGGUGGAAUUCCAGGUGUAGCAGUGAAAUGCGUAGAGAUCUGGAGGAACACCGAUGGCGAAGGCAGCCCCCUGGGCUAACACUGACGCUCAUGCACGAAAGCGUGGGGAGCAAACAGG
rnacentral:rRNA from 1 species